rfam:Archaeon CG2_30_31_98 isolate CG2_30_31_98 cg2_3.0_scaffold_1799_c, whole genome shotgun sequence.
GCAAGGGUUCCCGAGUGGUCAAAGGGGACGGACUCAAGAUCCGUUGACGCAAGUCUUCGCAGGUUCAAAUCCUGCCCCUUGCA